CUCCCGAGCAGGACUGGAAGGGAGGAAGGAAAAUGCUGAGGAGAGGUUUGGAAGGCGAAGGCGAGUGCCGGACGGAGCCACAGGCGCGAGCGUGUGCACCAUUCACUUCACGUGAGGGACCGUUAUUCCUGAUGGACAGGAAAAGGGAGUUAAGUGUGAUGUCCUAAGUCAAUGGAAGUCAGUGAGUUAUUGGAAAGGAGAAGUGAGAGAGCUAGUCAUCAAGAACCUGGGGAAAGGUUGACCACAAUGCAACCAUUCUCUCACGCCCACGUGCCCUCGGACCUUGUGUGUGUAUGACGCUGUCCCUGAAGAGAAGCAGGAGAAUUUGACUCAUAAGGAAACCUAAUGUAUUCAGGAAGAAACCUGAUGGCACACAGCACUAUUGGGAGUCUACGGCACAUUGAGACAUAACAGAUCAGUCUCUUAUUGGGCACUUAGUCCCGGCUCUAAAGUGUUGCACAGCAUUAAAAGAAGAUGCAGUGGCAAAUGGAAUUGACUUAUACAACAUCUGAGCCAUUGCAGCACGUCCUCCUUUUAUGCAAGGUUGGUGAAUUUGCAGAUUGAAGGUGUUAGGGAAAUAACAGACAACGCACACAGCAAGGCCUGGACCUUAAUCAAUCGGGUCCAGAGCGAUGAGUCAAGCUGCCAUCAGGCCGACAGAGAGACAGGCUGUCAGCUGAAGAGGGAAAUUUACUGACAUGGUGGUCUUGGGUGCUUCCUCAGGCUUGUCAAAGCUGCCCUAAGGUUUACCGAUAAAGCAGGCCGGAUGUACGAGUGUCAUGACAAGCCUGACAAAGGCAAGGAACUCUGUGUUGGAGUGUGUAUGUGUGCAUGCAUGGUGUCCCUGAGCACCAGUGCAAAGUGCCACAGGAAAUCUGCUUCCACCAGAUGUACACUGAAGUGCAUCAGGCUAGCUAUCCUGCACCAAAAGAAACCGAUUUAUCCUGGUCAGGGAUUGUGGUGGAUCUGGAGCCUAUCCCAGGAACACUGAACAUGAUGUGGAAAUACCAAUGGGAUGGGACGCCAAUCCAAUACCAGGACACACGCGCUCAUUCACACCUACUGGCACGAGGUAUUUUUGGGAGGAGGAAGGAAACGGGAAGAAGCCCAGAAGAAACCCACACUGACACAGGGAGAACAUGUGAAACUCCACACUGACAAUUUCCAGAGCUCAGGAUCAAACCAGGGACCCUGGAGCUAUGGGGUGGUGCUAUCCACUGCACCACAAUGCCACCUUGUUGCUGCUAUUAAUAUAAAUGUUUAAGCCAUUUAUAUGUUUUUAUUAUUCAAUCAUAAUGUUUUUAUAUCUUCAUGCUAUCAUUUUUAAAUCUUUCGCUUGUCAAACUGAUGUACUGCUUGAUUUUAUGAUUGUGAAAUAAGGAAUUUAUUAUUGCCAUGUCGAUUAAUGUCCAUGGUACUUGCAGUCAUGCAGGGCAAACAGACAUAUCACCACUGGUCUGUUUUACUCCUACACACACUAGGCUGCUCAGGCCUGCUGUGUGAACAAAACAGCCUGCUGCACCAAGUAGAUGAUGUGCAGAUGAUCCCACAGUACGACAUAGUGCAGACAGACAGAGUGAGAGAGCUAGAGAGAGGGAGAUGGCCGGAGGGGAGGAUUAGACGUACCUGUGAGAGGCCUGUCAGGUAGAUUUAGCAGCAGAGAUGAUAAGUGAGGGAGUGAGUAGGAGGAGAAGAACAGCAAUGAAUGGGCUUUUCACAGUGCUUUUGGGCAGCUAGAGGAAUAAGGUGCUAUUUCUAACAACAUCAGGAUAGUCAGUCACAAAGAAGUGCAGCUGAGUUUAACAGCAUGUCACGUUGUUAGGGAUGAGAGAGAGAGAGAGUGGAGAGAAAGUCCUCAGAACCAACAACAACUGGUUCAAACAUUUUUUGGGGAUUAAAUAUCAGUUCCUAUUUUAGCUACAUUUUUAGAUAUAUUAUAAAGACAAUGUGCCACAAAUGUGCUACUGAACAUGGAUAUACAAACAAUAGCAUAAACAUAUUAGAGAAUGGCUAUGGAGACUUGGGAAUAAACAUUUGGUUUGAGAUAAACAAAUCAGCAGUUUUGUCCAUCCUUCAUUCACCUUCAACUUCACCCAGGAUGCGAUACCAGUCCAUCGUAGAGCACAAUCAAUAUAGCAUAGCCAGUCCUGCUACCAGCAUGUUUUUUGGACUGUCGGAGGAAACUGGAGACCCAGGAAGAAACCCACAUGAACACAGGGAGAAAAACGCAGACAGUAACCUGAGCUCAAGACCAAACCGGGAACCCUGGAGCUGUGAGGCAGCAAUGCUACCUGCUGUGCCACCACGCGGCCUUUGGUUCUUUAUGUAAAAUCAAUAAAGUACAUAUGCUUGCAAAAAUUCAUCAAAUUUGAACAGG